AUUGAACGCUGGCGGCAGGCCUAACACAUGCAAGUCGAACGAGUGGCGGACGGGUGAGUAAUGUCUGGGAAACUGCCUGAUGGAGGGGGAUAACUACUGGAAACGGUAGCUACUACCGCAUACCAUCAGAUGUUCCCAGAUGGGAUUAGCUUGUUGGUGGGGUAACGGCUCACCAAGGCGACGAUCCCUAGCUGGUCUGAGAGGAUGACCAGCCAAAAUGGAACUGAGACACAGUCCAGACUCAUACGGGAGGCAGCAGUGGGGAAUAUUGCAAAAUGGGCGCAAGCCUGAUGGAGCCAAGCCGCGUGUAAGAAGAAGGCCUUCGGGUUGUAAAGUACUUUCAGCGGGGAGGCGUUACCCGCAGAAGAAGCACCGGCUAAAGCCGUGCCAGCAGCCGCGGUAAUAC
rnacentral:rRNA from 1 species